GACGAACGCUGGCGGCGUGCUUAACACAUGCAAGUCGAACGGAAAGGCCCUGCUUUUGUGGGGUGCUCGAGUGGCGAACGGGUGAGUAACACGUGAGUAACCUGCCCUUGACUUUGGGAUAACUUCAGGAAACUGGGGCUAAUACCGGAUAGGAGCUCCUGCUGCAUGGCGGGGGUUGGAAAGUUUCGGCGGUUGGGGAUGGACUCGCGGCUUAUCAGCUUGUUGGUGGGGUAGUGGCUUACCAAGGCUUUGACGGGUAGCCGGCCUGAGAGGGUGACCGGCCACAUUGGGACUGAGAUACGGCCCAGACUCCUACGGGAGGCAGCAGUGGGGAGUAUUGCACAAUGGGCGGAAGCCUGAUGCAGCAACGCCGCGUGCGGGAUGACGGCCUUCGGGUUGUAAACCGCUUUCGCCUGUGACGAAGCGUGAGUGACGGUAAUGGGUAAAGAAGCACCGGCUAACUACGUG
rnacentral:rRNA from 1 species